rnacentral:rRNA from 1 species
AACGAACGCUGGCGGCAGGCCUAACACAUGCAAGUCGAGCGGACCCUUCGGGGUUAGCGGCGGACGGGUGAGUAACGCGUGGGAAUAUGCCCUUCUCUACGGAAUAGUCCUGGGAAACUGGGGGUAAUACCGUAUACGCCCUUUGGGGGAAAGAUUUAUCGGGGGAGGAUUAGCCCGCGUUGGAUUAGGUAGUUGGUGGGGUAAUGGCCUACCAAGCCGACGAUCCAUAGCUGGUUUGAGAGGAUGAUCAGCCACACUGGGACUGAGACACGGCCCAGACUCCUACGGGAGGCAGCAGUGGGGAAUCUUAGACAAUGGGGGCAACCCUGAUCUAGCCAUGCCGCGUGAGUGAUGAAGGCCUUAGGGUUGUAAAGCUCUUUCAGCUGGGAAGAUAAUGACGGUACCAGCAGAAGAAGCCCCGGCUAACUCCGUG